UACGGGGGGGGCAAGCGUUGUUCGGAAUUACUGGGCGUAAAGGGCUCGUAGGUGGCCAACUAAGUCAGACGUGAAAUCCCCAGGCUUAACCUGGGAACUGCGUCUGAUACUGGAUGGCUUGAAUUCGGGAGAGGGAUGCAGAAUUCCAGGUGUAGCGGUGGAAUGCGUAGAUAUCAGGAGGAAUACCUGUGGCGAAAGCGGCACCCUGGCAUUAGCCUGACGCUCAUGUGCGAAAGCGUGGGGAGCGAACGGG
rnacentral:rRNA from 1 species